AGGGGUAUUUGUUUUUGUUCAUUUUGUUUUCUGGUCAUAGUCGGCUUCCCGUUGCGACACCCAUGUGCAUCUCGUCUUAGAGGAAACGCCGUGCAUUCUCCGGUGCGUGAUGACUCGGCCCAGUGGCGGGCGCGGUUCGGGAAGGGGAAGGGUGGGGAAGCCAGUGACGCACGUGACUCAGCCAUCGGCUGGUUCGCACAGAGUGGCGGUGGGGUCCUUUCCGUUUAAACGUCGUUCCGGUAGUCGCACGCCGCAUUCGACGGCUCCAGGGGGCUUCGUUCGGUCUACAUUCGGCAUAGCGGCUAGAGUCGCUGCAAGGCGUCAGGCGGCGCACCGGUGGGAUCAGACAGGUAUGCACAACAUCGGCACCGGCUGGAGCGCACAGAGGGCAGACGAUGCCUCGGUCGUUCAAGUGCCGGGUCGGCCGCUGGAAUCUGCCUGCCACGGCUCGUGGUACAUUUGUCCCGCCCCAGUCCGGGGUAGUUUCUAGGGUCUCCGCAAGGCGACGGGCGGCGCACCGGUGGGGAAAGCGAGGCCGUGAUCCACAACAACCGGUGGUUUUAAGUGAUGACGGGAGCGAUUCGGAUGAUGAUUCCCAAACCCCACAUCGUGAUCUUGACGAGGUGAAGUAUGUAGAACCGACGCAUCGUAUGCCGACUCCCGGAAGCUCCCCGUUCCCCCAAAUCAAGACGCGGGGAUGCCAAGGGAACUCGUACGCCUAGUGGCCUCACUUACGAUACAACAAAGGCAAGCUGUUUGUACAAUCGGCAUAGGUGGAAUUCUAGGCCUACGGAUAAGUAAAUUACCGCUCCGUGUUGGGCACUUGUUGGUGUCCAACUUUGACCCUUCGAAUAUGUCACUAAAGGUGAGUAACGGGAGCUACAUCAGCAUCUCAAAGGAUGAUGCCACAGCUGUGCUUGGACUACCCAACGAAACUAAUCCAAUAACUAAAUAAGGGUCUAGCCCACCACUAGGGGGGGCCUACGUUCAGCAGUGCAAUUUAAUUUUCAAUCGGAAAUAAAUAUCUAAUGUCUAUUUGUUGUCCAAUUCUAUUAAAGCAAUAUUAAAGGAAUUAAUACCAUGUGUCUAAAUAUCCCAUAUCAUCACUACUAGCUAAAGGUGUGCAUUGU